CUUUCUGGGGUUAUUCCAGAAUCAAUUGGACUUCUUCAGAAACUUGAAGUUUUACGGCUAGACCGCAAUAAUUUGAUUGGACUAGUUCCUCAAAGUAUCAGCAAUCUGACAAGACUCAAAGUGCUAAACUUUGCAAACAACGAGCUAACAGGAAUGAUACCAAAUAUGACUGGAAUGCAUGCCCUCUACAAUCUGUGAGAAUAAGCCAUUUCAGGACUAGCUUGAUUUUCCAUUUGGUGAAAUGGGAGAUUAUGCAUACCUGAUUUCAUUUACAGGGACUUGAGCAACAACUCAUUUGAUCC